GUGUGGUGCGAGCCAAUUUUUAUUCUGAAAGUGCGGCCCGUAGAAAACAAGUUUGAGGACCACUGGUCUAUUCCAUCAGCUGGGGCUGCCAAGGCGAAACACCCCACACAGGUGAGCAGGAAAUGGGGGGAUCUCUUGCGGCAAAGUAUAACCGCAGCACGCUCUUCUCAACCCUACUUUCUGUGCUGCAUGUGAAUACUGUGCCUUGGGCUGCAUCACUCCAACCCUCUUGUCCCAAAAGUAGCAAGGAAUAAGAAGAAAAAGAAGAAGAAGAGUUUGGAUUUGAUAUCCCGCUUUAUCACUACCCAAAGGAGUCUCAAAGCGGCUAACAAUCUCCUUUUCCCUUCCUCCCCCACAACAAACACUCUGUGAGGGGAGUGAGGCUGAGAGACCUCAAAGAAGUAUGACUAGCCCAAGGUCACCCAGCAGCUUCAUGUGGAGGAGGAGGGAUGCGAACCCGGUUCCCCAGAUUAUGAGUCCACUGCUCUUAACCACUACACCACACUGGCUCUCAUAAGAAAGGCUUUCAUCCCCACAUGCAGAGAUUCACAAAGUAGAAACCCCAUGUUUUAACAUGGGGGGGGGGGCAGACAGAUGAACGCCAGAUGUGACGGAUGAAUCACACGUAGUUUGCUCCCGGCUGCUAAUCUGACCAGCACAAUAACUCCCCUUAACGUUUCGUAUGCUUUCCGUUAAGCAAAUAACAGGUCUCUGGCUGCUGUUGUAUGCAGAUAUAUUAAUAACCAAUGCUCUAACAAGAGCAAGACCAAUACUAAGCACAUCUCUGAAAUACAUUCCAUUUUCCCCACAGCGUUAUUUGCUGGGAAAUAGUUACAAUGGAGCGAAGGCUUACCAGGGUUUACUCUGGCUUUGUCAAAACCACGUCUGUCAUUUAAAAGAUAAACAUGGAAACUGGCAA